rnacentral:rRNA from 1 species
UACGUAGGGGGCAAGCGUUGUUCGGAAUUACUGGGCGUAAAGGGCGUGUAGGCGGUGCGGUAAGUUGGGCGUGAAAUCCCCGGGCUCAACCCGGGGCGGUCGUUCAAAACUGCCGCGCUAGAGUGUGGGAGAGGGAAGUGGAAUUCCCGGUGUAGCGGUGAAAUGCGUAGAUAUCGGGAAGAACACCGGUGGCGAAGGCGGCUUCCUGGCCCACAACUGACGCUGAGGCGCGAAAGCUAGGGGAGCAAACAGG